UACGUAGGGUGCAAGUGUUGUCCGGAAUUAUUGGGCGUAAAGAGCGUGUAGGCGGCCAUACAGGUCCGUUGUGAAAACUGGAGGCUUAACCUCCAGACGUCGAUGGAAACCGUAUGGCUAGAGUCCGGAAGAGGAGAGUGGAAUUCCUGGUGUAGCGGUGAAAUGCGCAGAUAUCAGGAAGAACACCCGUGGCGAAGGCGGCUCUCUGGGACGGUACUGACGCUGAGACGCGAAAGCGUGGGGAGCGAACAGG
rnacentral:rRNA from 1 species